rnacentral:rRNA from 1 species
CAACUCGCCUGCAUGAAGUCGGAAUUGCUAGUAAUCGUAGGUCAGCAUACUACGGUGAAUACGUUCCCGGGCCUUGUACACACCGCCCGUCAAACCAUGAGAGUUGGCAACACCCGAAGUCGGUAGUCUAACCGCAAGGAGGACGCCGCCGAAGGUGGGGUUGAUGAUUAGGGUUAAGUCGUAACAAGGUACC